UACGGAGGGUGCAAGCGUUAUCCGGAUUCACUGGGGUUAAAGGGUGCGUAGGUGGGCAAGUAAGUCAGUGGUGAAAUCUCCGGGCUUAACUCGGAAACUGCCAUUGAUACUAUUUGUCUUGAAUACUGUGGAGGUCAGCGGAAUAUGUCAUGUAGCGGUGAAAUGCUUAGAUAUGACAUAGAACACCAAUUGCGAAGGCAGCUGGCUACACAAAUAUUGACACUGAGGCACGAAAGCGUGGGGAUCAAACAGG
rnacentral:rRNA from 1 species